AUAUUCUUAUAUAUAUUUAUAUACACUACAUUACUACAUACUACAUAGAAUUACUCACAUUUUUCUGAUCAAAUUUAAUGAAGACAUAAAAAAGCUAUCGAUUUCUAUAUGUUACUUUUAAGCUUGCGCCUUUUGAACGAAUUCCAAAAAUUUUUGAGAGCUCUUAUUGGUUGAUACAAUUGACGAAAAAGAAAAAAUGAUAGAAAGAAAUAGAGAGAAAGCGAAAAAACGAAAGAGAGAGAGAGAGAGAGAGAGAGAGAGAGAAAGAGAGAGAGAGAGAGAAAGAUUUACUACAAGCGAGGUCGAAUGUCACGCGACAGGAGAGGACAAAGCAACGAUAUAUGUAUAUAUACAUGUUGUAUGUAUUUUUAGAAGAGACACGAAGCUACGUGAGUGAGAUAGAGAGAGAGACAUAUUCAGAAUUUUUCUUGGCUGCUUAGAUGAUCGUUAAUGUAACGACAGGACAUGUGAUUAGAAAGUAUACGUAAUGUUCUCUCUAUACACCUACCUAUGUUUGUACAUAGAUACAUGUAUGUUAAGUACUCAUCCAUAAUACAUAUAACUAUAACGAUAGUUUUUUUUUUUUUCUAUUUUAAAGAGGCCAAAUGAUAAACCGCGACAAAUAACAUUGAAAUGUAUUUUCUACGCUUGUUUGUCCAACCGAAACACGUUUAUCGAUUUUUUACAUUCGACGAAGCGUUUAGCCGGAACAUUGAAACAUCUUGUAAUGUGUUGUCUUGUCAUUUAUAUUAACCAUUGAUAAUUUAAAAAGAAUUUAGAAUAGAAUUUAGAAAAUUUCUAUAUCUCGUUCUGAAACUGUCAUAGAAAAUUUUUUUUGUUCUCUUUCUCUCUAUCUCUCUCUCUCUCUCUCUCUCUCUCUCUCUUUUUUCGGAGCUGAUUAGAAUUAGAAUGAAAUUAUUAAAAAGGUAUAUGAACAUAGAUUUUAAUGGAUUAUUCUGUAAUAUAAUAAAAAUAAAAUAAAAAGUAGAAUAAAAUGGAAUACUUUUUUGAUACUAAAUAAUUAACGUUAAAUGAUUAACGUUAAGCAAAUAAUUUUAUAGUUUACAAUAAAUUAAAAUAGUUCAAAUAACAAUAAUUUUAUAUUUUAUAAUGAAUCAAGAGAAAAACAAAAAAAAAAAACAAAAAAAAAAAGAAAUUUCUUUUCAUAUAUUGAUCGAAAAAAUUCUACUAAUAGUGAUAUGAAAAAUGUUGUAUCGACCUUUUUUUUAUCUUUUAGUUCCUUUUUUUCUUUUUAAUAAAACUAUUAUGAAACUAUAUUACAAAACUAAGUACUAAAUAUUAAAAAAAAAAAAAAAAAAAAAAAAAAGAGAAGAAGAAAGAAAAAGAUGAAAAGAUGAUACUCAUUCUCGAGGAAACAUAAUUUCAUUUGUGAAUCAGUUAAAUUGUCAUCGAAUAAUGACUUUUUAAUUCAAAUCGAUCAGAGGAAAAGGAGAAAUAAAAAUUAUAUUUCCGUGUAAACUUAUGAAACAGAAUUACGUUUGUACUAUAUGAUUCACGUUUCAAUACACGGAACAGUUGUUAUCCAUAGAGAUAGAUAGAUAGAGAGAGAGAGAGAGAGAGAGAGAGAGAGAGAGAGAGAGAGAGAGAGAGAGAGAGAGAGAGAGAGAAAGAACAAGAGGUCACUUGAACCACAGUUUCUUUUGUCGUUUCUCUCUCUUGUUACGAUAAAAUGACGUGAACGAGCCUGAACCUACUCAACGACGAAAGAAGAAAUGAUACAAGUAGUAAUAAACUUCAAGCAAUUAUUAUAACUCGAGAUGAGCUGCUGCGAAAGAAAAUUUAUGGCGCAUGAUAUCCUGGUUUUAUAGUAUUACAGUACGAGAAUUUUAUGACCAAAGAAUUAAGGAAGAAGAUUGGCUAAUGAAAUCAAUACAAUGCAACGAAAUAGUAAUCAAGUAAAUUCAAGUAGAUUUUCAUAAAAUUAAGCAACUAGUAAUGACAAUACAUAAGACGACAUAGAAGAUAUCCAAAAAGAAGAAAAAAGACGACAUAACUUUCAGAACAAAUUUAUGCUAUUGAUGAAAUCAAAAAUAUGAAUUAUAAAGAAUCGGCAAAUAAUGUAAACGAAAUUUAAACAACCAAAUGUUUCGAUAUCAGUCAUACAUAAAAAAGUGUACAAGCUAAAUAAUAAUAUAAUAAAAUAUACACAUAUAUAUAUAUAUAUAUAUAUAUAUAUAUAUAUAUAUAUUAUAUAUUACAUCA